AUGGACGCUACCGUCGGCUUCGUGCGCGUCCCGCCCGCGCCCAUGUCAACCUUCGAUAUAAUCACCAUCAUCGUCCUGGUCCCUCUCUACGACCGGGUCUUUGUUCCGGCGGCAAGAAGGCUCACGGGGAGAGAGAAGGGCAUCUCGGAGCUGCAGAGGGUCGGCGCCGGCCUCGCCAUGCCCGUGCUCGCCAUGGCGGCCGCGGCGCUUCUCGAGACGGCGCGCCUCCGUGCGGCGAGGGCGGAGCCCCUGGCGCCAUGCUCGACGAGCGUGCUGUGGCAGGCGCCGCAGUACGUGCUGGUGGGCGUGGGCGAGGUGCUCACCACCAUCGGCCAGCUCGACUUCUUCUACGGCCAGGCGCCGGCCGCGAUGAAGACCGUAUGCACGGCGCUCGCGCUUCUCGCGGUAGCGGCCGGCGGCUACCUGAGCUCAUUCCUACUGACGGCCGUGCAGUGGGCGACGACGACUGGUGGCGCGCCUAGGUGGAUCCCCGACGACCUGAACGAGGGUCAUCUGGAUCGCUUCUUCUGGCUGAUGGCCGUACUUGGUUGUCUCAAUCUGAUAGCGUUCGGGAGCUGCGCCAGGAGUUACAAAUCCAGGAAGGGCCGCCGCGACACUUUCGGUUUGAGAACUAUUGGUCCAAGCUAG
rnacentral:rRNA from 1 species